GCGGUUGUAGCGCAGCAGGCAGCGCGUCGCCUCGCCAUGGCGAAGGUCGCCGGUUCGAACCCGGCCAACCGCU
rnacentral:tRNA from 1 species